CAGUCGCCGCGGGAAUACGAAGGGGGCUAGCGUUGCUCGGAAUGACUGGGCGUAAAGGGCGCGUAGGCGGAUGGCACAGUCAGAUGUGAAAUUCCCGGGCUUAACCUGGGGGCUGCAUUUGAUACGUGUUGUCUAGAGUGAGGAAGAGGGUCGUGGAAUUCCCAGUGUAGAGGUGAAAUUCGUAGAUAUUGGGAAGAACACCGGUGGCGAAGGCGGCGACCUGGUCCUUUACUGACGCUGAGGCGCGAAAGCGUGGGGAGCAAACAGGAUUAGAUACCCCAGUAGUCCCUGUCUCUUAUAC
rnacentral:rRNA from 1 species